rnacentral:misc_RNA from 1 species
GAUGAAGAACGUAGCGAAAUGCGAUAAGUAAUGUGAAUUGCAGAAUUCAGUGAAUCAUCGAAUCUUUGAACGCACAUUGCGCCCGCCAGUAUUCUGGCGGGCAUGCCUGUCUGAGCGUCAUUUCAACCCUCAUGCCCCUAGGGCGUGGUGUUGGGGAUCGGCCAAAGCCCGCGAGGGACGGCCGGCCCCUAAAUCUAGUGGCGGACCCGUCGUGGCCUCCUCUGCGAAGUAGUGAUAUUCCGCAUCGGAGAGCGAUGAGCCCCUGCCGUUAAACCCCCAACUUUCCAAGGUUGACCUCAGAUCAGGUAGGAAUACCCGCUGAACUUAAGCAUAUCUAAGCGGAGGA